UUUUGACUGAAUACAUGUUUGUUUUAUUUGUCUAUAUCUUAGAUUCGCAGCUGGACACAUCCUUCUACACUGUAUGCAAACAUGCAACAUCAUAACACACAGUACAAGGAGUCAGACUGGCAUAUGAGGAGCAAAGGAACCCAGACAGUAGCAUCGUUUCACAAUGUUUCCAUCACCAUCAUCAGUGGAUGCCUUUGCCGUCCGUAGCCUGAGAUUUCAGAUUUGCAGCAAAAAAAAAAUGAUUUUCUCAUUUAUUGGAAUGCUGUGCAGGUAUUUGUUCCUUGCAGCCAUCCAUUACAAUGUCACCAAGCCGUAACAAAAGCAGGAGAGGGAAAGUACAAGGCUAUGUUCCCAAAACACACAAGUGACAUACCUUAUGUGGAGGAUGUGAUCAGGCUUGUGUUUGAUGAGGUAUUUGAAGAUAAGCUGAAGGAAACCCCGAUUCCAAUGGACCUGGCAUCACAGUUUGAGAGACCUUCAAAGGAGGACGUGAUUGCAUGCCAUCUUCAGUGCAGGGGUCGUCGAAAGCCAAAAUUGUGACCGAUCUGAUCAGGAAGCUCCAAGCGUAUCUGGAGAACAACACACGACAGGAUGAUAACCUUAUAGUGUCGUCUUAGAUAGCACCAGCUGACAAAGCUUUGAUAUGCCAUUUAUCUGAAUAGAUAGCUGUAAGAAAUGAAUUGAACAAUUUUUGAAAGAAGAGCACAAUAUGGUUACUAAAGUAUGUUUAUUUGUAUAUUGUUUAACAUUUAAAUAUAUAUUUGUAAUAAAUAAAAAAAACUUUUGACUGACUAUUA